rnacentral:rRNA from 1 species
GACGAACGCUGGCGGCGUGCUUAACACAUGCAAGUCGAGCGAGGCCCUCCUUCGGGAGGUGUCCUAGCGGCGAACGGGUGAGUAACACGUGGGCAACCUGCCCCCGGCUCCGGGAUAACUCCAAGAAAUUGGGGCUAAUACCGGAUAUGACCGCUGACCGCAUGGUCUGGUGGUGGAAAGAUUUAUCGGCUGGGGAUGGGCCCGCGGCCUAUCAGCUUGUUGGUGGGGUAGUGGCCUACCAAGGCGACGACGGGUAGCCGGCCUGAGAGGGUGACCGGCCACACUGGGACUGAGACACGGCCCAGACUCCUACGGGAGGCAGCAGUGGGGAAUAUUGCGCAAUGGGCGGAAGCCUGACGCAGCGACGCCGCGUGGGGGAUGACGGCCUUCGGGUUGUAAACCUCUUUCAGCAGGGACGAAGCGCAAGUGACGGUACCUGCAGAAGAAGCACCGGCCAACUACGUGCCAGCCGCCGCGGUAACAC